GGAAUGCUAUUAAGAAGACUAUCCCCAAUAAUUACAGCUAUCUGCCCGGCUACUUUGAUCCAUCGAAAUGUACAACAAUCAAAAUUUUGUUGACCACUUUAAUAUUUGGAAUUUACGAUUACAACGAUAAGGAGCCCGUGCAGUACGAUUUUGUUUCCGAUAAUCGAAAACUUGCCCCUUUUCCAAGCAAUCGAUAAGUAUCGAUUACCUCGCCAGGAGUAUUCCUCCAA